UACGGGGGGGGCAAGCGUUGUUCGGAAUUACCGGGCGUAAAGGGCUCGUAGGCGGCCAACUAAGUCAGACGUGAAAUCCCUCGGCUUAACCGGGGAACUGCAUCUGAUACUGGAUGGCUUGAGUUCGGGAGAGGGAUGCGGAAUUCCAGGUGUAGCGGUGAAAUGCGUAGAUAUCUGGAGGAACACCGGUGGCGAAGGCGGCAUCCUGGACCGACACUGACGCUGAGGAGCGAAAGCCAGGGGAGCAAACGGG
rnacentral:rRNA from 1 species